rnacentral:ncRNA from 1 species
CAUCCGCAAGGGCAAAGCAUUUCGAAAGGGUGCGACGCAAAACCACCGGCCUACGUUCCCGGCAUUGGGAAUAGGGUAGCGGGGUUGCCGGA